rfam:Lachancea fermentati genome assembly, chromosome: C
GGUUGUUUGGCCGAGCGGUCUAAGGCGCCUGAUUCAAGAGUUACUCUUAACGUCCACAGGGCGGAGCACUCAGGUAUCGUAAGAUGCAAGAGUUCGAAUCUCUUAGCAACCA